CAGGGUUACACUCAAUGGCAAGACACACAGCUUGAAAGUGGUAUUCAGCACUAUAAAAGCACACAGAGUCUGAAUGAUACAUUGGAUCUACAUCAGUUUACAGUCAAAGAGGCCAUGCAAGCUUUUUUGAAAUUCCUGCAGCAAAAAGAAUAUGAAUACAACCUCUCCAAAACCAACAAUGUUGUGUUUGUCAUCACGGGGAGAGGGAAACACAGCCCUGAUGGCGUCCCUAAAAUAAAACCAGCGGUACAAGACUAUCUGGACAAACACAGUCUCUGUUUUACGUGGGUCAACCCAGGAAUGGUAAAGUUAGAUUUCUCAAAGAAGAAAUAAACUACAAUAUGUUUCCAAAAGAAAACUUAUGAAAUCAUUAAGUAUUAAGUACUCAAAACAUUUUUUUUUUCAAAA